rnacentral:rRNA from 1 species
UACGUAGGGUGCGAGCGUUAAUCGGAAUUACUGGGCGUAAAGCGUGCGCAGGCGGUUCGUUGUGUCGGUGGUGAAAGCCCCGGGCUUAACCUGGGAAUGGCCAUGGAAACUGGCGAACUGGAGUGUGGCAGAGGGGGGUGGAAUUCCGCGUGUAGCAGUGAAAUGCGUAGAGAUGCGGAGGAACACCGAUGGCGAAGGCAGCCCCCCUGGGCUAACACUGACGCUCAGGCACGAAAGCGUGGGGAGCAAACAGG